AGAUGAUGUCUCCCUUCUUCGGUCUUGAGCUGCCAAACUGAAACAAGCCGCCACUACAGCUGAAUCAACAAACAUCAGCUGGUGGAUCACUGCUGUUCCUAAUGACAACAUCAAACUGCUGCCUGGUCAGGUGCUGGAAAUGAUUUGGCACAUCAUCCAAAGACUUCACAGAACAUCAUGAACAUGGUGAUACAGACUGCAGCG